CCUACGGGUCGCACCAGUGGGGAAUAUUGCACAAUGGGCGCAAGCCAGAUGCAGCCAUGCCGCGUGUGUGAAGAAGGCCUUCGGGUUGUAAAGCACUUACAGCGGGGAGGAAGGCGAUAAGGUUAAUAACCUUGUCGAUUGACGUUACCCGCAGAAGAAGCACCAGCUAACUCCGUGCCAGCAGCCGCGGUAAUACGGAGGGUGCAAGCGUUAAUCGGAAUUACUGGGCGUAAAGCGCACGCAGGCGGUCUGUCAAGUCGGAUGUGAAAUCCCCGGGCUCAACCUGGGAACUGCAUUCGAAACUGGCAGGCUAGAGUCUUGUAGAGGGGGGUAGAAUUCCAGGUGUAGCGGUGAAAUGCGUAGAGAUCUGAAGGAAUACCGGUGGCGAAGGCGGCCCCCUGGACAAAGACUGACGCUCAGAUGCGAAAGCGUGGGGAGCAAACAGGAUUAGAUACCCCAGUAGUC
rnacentral:rRNA from 1 species